UCACAAAUGAUAGAUUUCAAACUAGUACUACAGUUUGCCGCUGUUAAUGUCAGCCAGACGUUCAAGCAAUACAUGUAUGAAGAGAUCCUUUGGGUUUUGUUUCAUACAGAGCAUAAGAAGAGGAACAUAACAUGGUUGUUCACAAUCCCCUGAGCAUCUGACAGUUCCUGGUCAUGAAGAACAACACCAUGUUGGAUAAAGCUACCUUCUCCGCUAACCUGGCCUGGUGCAAGAUGCACACAGGAGUUACAACCCUUUUUCCAAUUUGUAUUGGAACUCAUAACACUACACGUAGUGGUUGAUUUGUUUGGAAUUGGACGUUGAUGCAAGCCCUGAUGCAGGAGGUCCCCACUGCUGACACAGACACAUGAAAAAGGCCACGCUGGAGUUUGCAAUCCCCUACCUGGAGAAGCCAAAAUCCUUCUCUGCUUAGUGGUGACGUGCGGUGAUGGGUCAUGGAUAAACAGCUGCCAGGGAAGGAGGGAGCCUGAAAAGUUCACGUCGAAAGAUGGAGGUCCGUGAAAGACAGAGGGAGCUCCGCAGGGGAUCUUCAAAAGUUAGUUGUGAUUGUCUGGUCCGGAAUACUUUUGGUGCAGAAGCGCCAACAACCGUGUCUGAUAUGACCUGCAAGUCGAAGAAGAAUACUUUGCAAAAUGAAGAGGUGGCAAGUCAUAUGCUUGAGCUCCAAAUGAAGUUGGCACACUUCCAGAGUGAGAUUUCCUGUCUGCAAAGCCUCCAGAAAGACAACAUGAAGGAAAUUGCUGAGAAAGACCUCAGCAUCACUAAACUGCAAGCAAGCCUUUUGCUGCUGCGACAGGAGCGUGUCAACACGCACGCUCAGGUGCGUAGAAACACACGUCUCGUUUUGCUUUACAGGAUCGUGCCUUCAAUUGAUGUCUUGAUGUUUUAAGGGAAUUCGAAAUGACCUCUCAUCAUUUAUUUUUUCACGAUAUAUAUCACAACAGAUGGAGGAGAUGAGUAGGGCAGACAUGCCAAAUGUUUAAAAGUGGGCUGAGGGAAGCUACUAUUUAGAAUGUGGAGGUAUUUAUACAGCAAAUGGAUCCAAAAAUGGAUGACAAUAUGGAAAUGAGGCAGCAUUAAUUCUCCUCAGCAUCCCUGCGUUUUAAUCGACUUCCAGGAUGAAAAUGAGUAACUCCAUCAUUAACCGAGGGAAGAUCAUUUCAACUAAUUAAAGACCAACAUGGUUUUCCAAUUACAAAAUUAU